rnacentral:rRNA from 1 species
UCGAUAACGAACGAGACCUUAACCUGCUAAAUAGCCCAGUCGACUAUGGUUGGCUGCUAGCUUCUUAGAGGGACUAUUGGCGUUUAGCCAAUGGAAGUUUGAGGCAAUAACGGGUCUGUGAUGCCCUUAGAUGUUCUGGGCUGCACGCGCGCUACACUGACGGAGCCAACGAGUCUUUUCCUUGUCCGGAAGGACUGGGUAAUCUUGUGAAACUUCGUCGUGCUGGGGAUAGAGCAUUGCAAUUAUUGCUCUUCAACGAGGAAUUCCUAGUAAGCGUGAGUCAUCAGCUCGCGUUGAUUACGUCCCUGCCCUUUGUACACACCGCCCGUCGCUACUACCGAUUGAAUGGCUCGGCCCGUGCNNNCGCCCCGCCCGCCGCGCGCGGCGGGGGA